GAGUAGGUGCUAACUGAUAAUCUUGGAACGUGAAACAUCUAAGCUCCGGGUCAUAGAACUGAAGAAGUGUCUGCAACGGCACCGGGUCAACUACUGUCUUCAACACUGUCAGGAUAUCCCCAUACUGAUUCACGAACCCCCACAGACGAUCACUGGUCACAAGACUGCCUAACUCAAUCAGAGGCGUCAAAGGCUCCCGGUGAAAAACGUAGAUACAAGUCUUCCGCUUCGGCUCUGGGACUGUUGCCAUCUCUAUCGGCGAAUCAAACUCUAGAAUGUACCUGAGAAAUGAUAUGCAUGCGGAGGUUAGUUUUUUUUCUUUCUCUUUUUUUUUCUUUUUUUUUUCCUUUUUUUUUUUGCGUAUCUUUUUGAAAAUAAAUAUGCUAUGAUGCACAUGAUGCAGACACAACUGGCUGGCGGUGCAUCUCUGAUCACAAAGUCGAAGCUUCGAUCUAAACUCAGAACCCAAAUCCAACUUGAAAACCCAAGGUCAACUGAAUAUACUGUUGUCUGAACCCAAAGUCACCAACAGAACCAUAAGUCACCAACAGUACCUGUAAUGAUGAACCCUUCCC
rnacentral:lncRNA from 1 species